AGCAGCCGCGGUAAUUCCAGCUCCAAUAGCGUAUAUUAAAGUUGUUGCAGUUAAAAAGCUCGUAGUUGAAUUUCGGGAUCAAUACGUCGGUCGUGCUUCGGUACGUACUGGCGUAAUUGAUUUCUCCCUUCUGACGAACCAUGAUGUCAUUAACUUGGUGUCAUGGGAAAUCAGGACUGUUACUUUGAAAAAAUUAGAGUGUUUAAAGCAGGCUCACGCUUGAAUACAUUAGCAUGGAAUAAUGAAAUAGGACGUUCGAUCCUAUUUUGUUGGUUUUUAGGAUCAACGUAAUGAUUAAUAGGGAUAGUUGGGGGCAUUAGUAUUCAAUUGUCAGAGGUGAAAUUCUUGGAUUUAUUGAAGACUAACUACUGCGAAAGCAUUUGCCAAGGAUGUUUUCAUUAAUCAAGAACGAAAGUUAGGGGAUCGAAGACGAUCAGAUACCGUCGUAGUCUUAACCAUAAACUAUGCCGACUAGGGAUCGGAUGAUGUUAAUUUUUAAUGACUCAUUCGGCGUCUUAAC
rnacentral:rRNA from 1 species